rnacentral:tRNA from 1 species
CGGUGUAGCUCAAUUGGCAGAGCAACUGAUUUGUAAUCAGUAGGUUGUGGGUUCGAUUCCAAUCACCG